rnacentral:lncRNA from 10 species
CUAGUGACCACACUGAGAAAACACUUAGAUGGACCGAUGGGUGUGAAUCCCUUGAGAGCAAGGCUGCAUCUUCUCUCUUGCACUUGCCAGCAUCUGGCACAGCUGGGUAUUAAUCACACAAGACACAACUCCAGCGGUGGCGGCCCUGGAUGUCUGAAAUGCUGUCCAGAACAUUGAGAGAAAGCCAAAGAAGGAAAGCUGCCCUCAAACAUGCCCAGGAUCUUGCUGGAGAUGGAAACUAACAAGGAUGGAAACAUGACAGCAGAAAAAUACAGACCAGUUUGAAGUCUGCCCACCUGGGAGUCAAGCCACAUUGAAAAUCAAUAAGGCAUCAAGGCCGGGAGCUCGGAGAGCCGACUGGAUACCUGCGUGGGCCUCCUUUAAAGAGGUGAAAGCUUUGAAGUUGCAGACGACCAAUAAAAAUACAGCUGGCAUUUACAGCUUCAACUCCUCCUGCUUUUGCUUUUCACCGUGUUGCUAAAGCUGCCUACAAAGCUGCUCCAGGCCGGACUCUUGGCCCAGGUUGACAGAGCCCAUUCCCAUUCCAUGGACAAUAACAGGGGCUCUUGGUGUCCUCUGGCCAGGGAUUGGUGAUCAACUUUAGGCACGCUGGCAAUUUCCCAGGACAACCCCGUCUUAGGUUCUGAACAUCAGAGGCAAUGGCUAAGGUCCCCCAAAGCACUUUGGAAUGAGCCCAGGAAGUUGACCUUUGAAGCACUCUCCUGCUCUUGGGGCCAUGUCAUCAGGAAGAAACUCCAGGCUGAAAACACAACUGCAAGGCCAACAGGCAGGGGAGCAGCUUUCUCAGGACACCUGAGGUCCUGCCCCACCAGGCUCUGGUCUUUACACACCAUCUCUCACUGUCCUCUAGCCCCAACUGCACAUUGCCUUCCUCCUUCCUGAGCUCAUGCUUGCCCCUCCCUCGGCAUCUCCCUAGCCCCAGCCUGAAGGCUGACCUCCUCCAGAAAGCCUCUCCCUCACCACGAGGCCAGAAAGAGUCUGUCCUGUCUCUAGCUUCUGAGUUUCUUAGUCCCAACGACUGUCCCUGCUCCACUGACACCUUCCAUACACAGCUUUGUGAGCUGUGCGCAUCUGUGGGUACCAGAGGGUAAGUUCGAGGGCCAGCUGACGCCUACUGUCUCUACUGUCUCACAGAUCUGCAUUGGGUUUCCUUGGUCCCAAUCCCCCACAGACACACACACAUGUACACACUCACACACACAACGCUGGACCAAUAGAGAGAACUUUAUCAGUAAAAUGUAACUAUUUCAUUACACCAGAAGCUAUCCGUGUUUAAGGCCCUAUCCCCAAAGCAAGUAGAGAAUGACAAUUAUCUUGGUAAGGAACAAGGGCCUUCCCACUUCCAUCCCCUAAAUUACACUAAUUUCUGGCGUUUCCACCUUCUCUGAGCCAGUGCUUCCAUUUGGGAAAUAAAUAUGAAAUGAUUUAUCCAUUCAAAGUGACAGAUCACAGGUUUGUAGGUAGCAGGCAGGGGAAUCUGCCUCACAAAGGUAGACAUCCUUUAUGACUUUGAAGGGAAAAGGGUGAAGGGCCCUGUGGGGAGUGGCAGCGAGGAUCAGAUUUCUCCAGAAUCACUCGGAGUAAUAUCUAUCCUCAGGUCACUGGUGACACCCUGCUCAGCCACAGCACCAGAGAGGAGAGAAAACACCACAACAGUCUUCAUAGAACUAAAAGACUUCCUAGAGCGCGCUUGCCCUUUGUUUCUAUAGCUGCUGCUACGUGGAUAAGAGUCACUAGUUCAGCUCAUAUUCAGGACCAACAGAACACUUCCAAAGGUGGCUCACCUCAGAGACUGGGACUCCAGAGGUCAGCGUGCCUCUGUCUAGCUGUGCUUUCUAGUGAACACGUUACUUCACCUCCCCUGGGCUCAGUCUUGUCACUUUGGCAAUGAGGGCAUUUGGCGGCAUUCUCUGAAGCCACCCUACCCCCUUCAAUGGUCUGGAACCUUAGCAGCACAUUUGAAUCAUCUGAGGAGCUUUUUUAAAAUACCACGGCCUGGGCUCUGCCCCGAGAGGUUCUGAUCUAAUUGGUCUGGGAUAGAACCUCAGGUGGUUCUCAUGUGCGGGCAAGCUGGAGGACCCCUACACUAGUUGUUAUGAGGAUUUUAUUCAGCAAACAUCAAACCCCACAUGGAGUGGUCCAGGGGCCAGAACCUAGACAUUCAAGAGGGAGUUCCUGUGAGUUUAACUUCCUCUCCUGGAAUAAAAAUUUUAAGAACUCAAAAAGCACAAAAGUUGAUUUUUGGGGGGGGUCUCUUUUCAAAUUAUGACCCUAAAGUUAGGCCGCCAUCAGUCAUAUAUAGGUCAGAAGGGGGCCCAGUCCUGACUUGGAUGUUAGAUGAGUUUAUUGGCCACAGAGAGACUAAAUCUUAAAGGACCCCCUUGGCAGAAGGAAUCAGCAGCCAGCGUGGCCACUCGACUGCCUGACCCAGACCCCCAAGGUGAAGAGGCCCUUUGAGCCUCCAUGCAGCAGCCCUGCCAGGAGGCACCACUGUGAUGUAUCACUGUGGUCAACCAUCCCUCCAAGCCUCAGGGCAGCCUUUGAACUGGGUUGCCCUGCCCACAGUGUGAAGCCAGUGCUCUGAACAGGCAUGUCGGAGAAUACUGCCAGAAAGUCACUCCUCGGGACCAAGUAGGGAAGGGCCUUAACGAGCAGCAAAAAGUUAUCCUUCAAUGUGUUUAAAAGAAAUCCUGUGUUAACCCUUUUAAGGAUACUAAAUGGCAGAUGUUGGUGCUUGAAGAGGCCUGGCCCAAACCCUCCCCACAAGCAGAAUAGGUUCUCUCAUCCCCAUGUUACCUCUACAGUAAAAACCCAGAGGAAGAGCUGAUCAUGUGCUGCCCACCUGGUCUACUCCAGUGAAACAGGAUCAUUUCUAAUUAGCCAGACUCUAAACAAAUGGGUACAAUUGACAUGCUGGGAACAUUUUUGUUUAAGUGAUAAUGAAAAUAUUUUCCCUUUAUUACGUGCUUGACUCGGAUGUGUGGCACAGGAUGGCACUUCAUAACCGCUUGAGAAAGUGAGGCAGGUAUUCAUGUCACUAUUUUACAGAUUAGGCACCCAGCAUAAGUUAAUGCCAGGGCAAGACCGUUUGUAAGCCAGGUCUCCUGGCUUAUCCCCUCCUCAUGUUACUGUAAUUCUCUCUCCAGCUGCAAUCAAGCUUACAUUAUCUGUGUGCUCACCAAUUUUAUUUUUAAUUUAAAGGCAUAUGUUGUGUUCCCAAUUAUAAUUAAAAAAUUUAAAAGUAUAUUAUGUUUAAAGUAUGAACCCAAGUCUGAAAAAGUGUAAGUUAUACUCAUAUAGAAUAAAAUAACCAAAAUAAAAUACAUCAAAAUAUUAACCAUGGU